rnacentral:rRNA from 1 species
GUGUCAGCCGCCGCGGUAACACGUAGGGGACGAGCGUUGUCCGGAUUCAUUGGGCGUAAAGCGCGCGUAGGCGGCUCGGAAAGUCGGGCGUGAAAUGCCGGGGCUCAACCCCGGGACUGCGUCCGAUACUUCCGAGCUGGAGGUAGGUAGGGGAGAUCGGAAUUCCUGGUGUAGCGGUGAAAUGCGCAGAUAUCAGGAGGAACACCGGUGGCGAAGGCGGAUCUCUGGGCCUUACCUGACGCUGAGGCGCGAAAGCUAGGGGAGCGAACAGGAGGAUAUACCAUGGGAUUAC